AGUGAACGCUGGCGGUAGGCCUAACACAUGCAAGUCGAACGGCAGCACAGUAAGAGCUUGCUCUUACGGGUGGCGAGUGGCGGACGGGUGAGGAAUACAUCGGAAUCUACUUUUUCGUGGGGGAUAACGUAGGGAAACUUACGCUAAUACCGCAUAUGACCUACGGGUGAAAGCAGGGGAUCUUCGGACCUUGCGCGAUUGAAUGAGCCGAUGUCGGAUUAGCUAGUUUGCGGGGUAAAGGCCCACCAAGGCGACGAUCCGUAGCUGGUCUGAGAGGAUGAUCAGCCACACUGGAACUGAGACACGGUCCAGACUCCUACGGGAGGCAGCAGUGGGGAAUAUUGGACAAUGGGCGCAAGCCUGAUCCAGCCAUACCGCGUGGGUGAAGAAGGCCUUCGGGUUGUAAAGCCCUUUUGUUGGGAAAGAAAAGCAGCAGGUUAAUACCCCGCUGUUCUGACGGUACCCAAAGAAUAAGCACCGGCUAACUUCGUG
rnacentral:rRNA from 1 species